CAUUUUGAACCGCAUGGUUCGAAAUUGAAAGGCGGCUUCGGCUGUCACUUAUGGAUGGACCCGCGUCGCAUUAGCUAGUUGGUGAGGUAACGGCUCACCAAGGCAACGAUGCGUAGCCGACCUGAGAGGGUGAUCGGCCACACUGGGACUGAGACACGGCCCAGACUCCUACGGGAGGCAGCAGUAGGGAAUCUUCCGCAAUGGACGAAAGUCUGACGGAGCAACGCCGCGUGAGUGAUGAAGGCUUUCGGGUCGUAAAACUCUGUUGUUAGGGAAGAACAAGUGCUAGUUGAAUAAGCUGGCACCUUGACGGUACCUAACCAGAAAGCCACGGCUAACUACGUGCCAGCAGCCGCGGUAAUACGUAGGUGGCAAGCGUUAUCCGGAAUUAUUGGGCGUAAAGCGCGCGC
rnacentral:rRNA from 1 species